AACGUAGGUGGCGAGCGUUAUCCGGAUUUACUGGGCGUAAAGGGUGUGCAGGCGGGCUGUUAAGUGGUGUAUGAAAUAUCCCGGCUCAACCGGGAGAGGUUAUGCCAGACUGGCAGUCUAGAGAGCGAGAGAGGGACGUGGAAUUCCGGGUGUAGUGGUGAAAUGCGUAGAGAUCCGGAGGAACCCAGAGGCGAAGGCGGCGUCCUGGCUCGCAUCUGACGCUCAGACACGACAGCAUGGGAGCGAACGGG
rnacentral:rRNA from 1 species